rnacentral:rRNA from 1 species
CCAGACUCCUACGGGAGGCAGCAGUGGGGAAUAUUGGGUAAUGGGCGCAAGCCUGACCCAGCAACGCCGCGUGAAGGAAGAAGGCUUUCGGGUUGUAAACUUCUUUUGUCAGGGACGAAGCAAGUGACGGUACCUGACGAAUAAGCCACGGCUAACUACGUGCCAGCAGCCGCGGUAAUACGGAGGAUGCGGGCGUUAUCCGGAUUUAUUGGGUUUAAAGGGUGCGUAGGCGGACUGGAAAGUCAGCGGUAAAAUCGAGGGGCUCACCCUCUUUCCGCCGUUGAAACUGUCGGUCUUGAGUGGGCGAGAAGUAUGCGGAAUGCGUGGUGUAGCGGUGAAAUGCAUAGAUAUCACGCAGAACUCCGAUUGCGAAGGCAGCAUACCGGCGCCCGACUGACGCUGAGGCACGAAAGCGUGGGUAUCGAACAGGAUUAGAUACCCCGGUAA